rnacentral:rRNA from 1 species
AUUGAACGCUGGCGGCAGGCCUAACACAUGCAAGUCGAACGGUAGCACAGAGAGCUUGCUCUUGGGUGACGAGUGGCGGACGGGUGAGUAAUGUCUGGGGAACUGCCUGAUGGAGGGGGAUAACUACUGGAAACGGUAGCUAAUACCGCAUAACGUCGCAAGACCAAAGAGGGGGACCUUCGGGCCUCUUGCCAUCAGAUGUGCCCAGAUGGGAUUAGCUAGUAGGUGGGGUAAUGGCUCACCUAGGCGACGAUCCCUAGCUGGUCUGAGAGGAUGACCAGCCACACUGGAACUGAGACACGGUCCAGACUCCUACGGGAGGCAGCAGUGGGGAAUAUUGCACAAUGGGAGCAAGCCUGAUGCAGCCAUGCCGCGUGUAUGAAGAAGGCCUUCGGGUUGUAAAGUACUUUCAGCGAGGAGGAAGGCAAUACGGUUAAUAACCGUGUUGAUUGACGUUACUCGCAGAAGAAGCACCGGCUAACUCCGUGCCAGCAGCCGCAGUAAUAC